GAUGAACGCUGGCGGCGUGCUUAACACAUGCAAGUCGAACGGAAAGGCCCAAGCUUGCUUGGGUACUCGAGUGGCGAACGGGUGAGUAACACGUGGGGGAACUGCCCUGCACUUCGGGAUAAGCCUUGGAAACUGGGUCUAAUACCGGAGAGGACGAUGGUUUGGAUGCCAUUGAGGAAAGUUUUUUCGGUGUGGGAUGAGCUCGCGGCCUAUCAGCUUGUUGGUGGGGUAAUGGCCUACCAAGGCGUCGACGGGUAGCCGGCCUGAGAGGGUGUACGGCCACAUUGGGACUGAGAUACGGCCCAGAGUCCUACGGGAGGCAGCAGUGGGGAAUAUUGGACAAUGGGCGCAAGCCUGAUGCAGCGACGCCGCGUGGGGGAUGACGGCCGUCGUGUUGUAAACUCCUUUCGCUAGGGACGAAGCGUUUUUGUGACGGUACCUGGAGAAGAAGCACCGGCUAACUACGUG
rnacentral:rRNA from 1 species